AGUGAACGCUGGCGGUAGGCCUAACACAUGCAAGUCGAACGGCAGCACAGUAAGAGCUUGCUCUUACGGGUGGCGAGUGGCGGACGGGCGAGGAAUACAUCGGAAUCUACUUUUUCGUGGGGGAUAACGUAGGGAAACUUACGCUAAUACCGCAUACGACCUACGGGUGAAAGCAGGGGAUCUUCGGACCUUGCGCGAUUGAAUGAGCCGAUGUCGGAUUAGCUAGUUGGCGGGGUAAAGGCCCACCAAGGCGACGAUCCGUAGCUGGUCUGAGAGGAUGAUCAGCCACACUGGAACUGAGACACGGUCCAGACUCCUACGGGAGGCAGCAGUGGGGAAUAUUGGACAAUGGGCGCAAGCCUGAUCCAGCCAUACCGCGUGGGUGAAGAAGGCCUUCGGGUUGUAAAGCCCUUUUGUUGGGAAAGAAAAGCAGCAGGUUAAUACCCCGCUGUUCUGACGGUACCAAAAGAAUAAGCACCGGCUAACUUCGUG
rnacentral:rRNA from 1 species